rnacentral:rRNA from 1 species
GAUCCCUACGGGACGCAGCAGUGAGGAAUAUUGGUCAAUGGGCGGGAGCCUGAACCAGCCAAGUCGCGUGAGGGAAGACGGUCCUAUGGAUUGUAAACCUCUUUUGUCGGGGAGCAAAGAGGCCACGUGUGGUUAAAAGCGAGAGUACCCGAAGAAAAAGCAUCGGCUAACUCCGUGCCAGCAGCCGCGGUAAUACGGAGGAUGCGAGCGUUAUCCGGAUUUAUUGGGUUUAAAGGGUGCGUAGGCGGGACGGUAAGUCAACGGUAAAAAUGCGGACCUCACCUCCGUCGAGCCGUUGAAACUGC